GCCUUUGUGGCUCGGUUGGAAAGAGCGCCUGUAAGAGACAUCGUUGCGUGAAACAUUGAACAGGAGGCUGUUGAUUCGAUUCCAACCGCAGGCG